UACGGCCAUAUGCAGUCAGAGCACCGGUUCUCGUAUGAUCACUGAAGUUAAGCAAUGUCGAGCCUGACCAUUACCUAGAUGAGUGACCGCUUAGGAAUACUAUGUGCUGUAAG